rnacentral:rRNA from 1 species
AGUGAACGCUGGCGGUAGGCCUAACACAUGCAAGUCGAACGGCAGCACAGUAAGAGCUUGCUCUUACGGGUGGCGAGUGGCGGACGGGUGAGGAAUACAUCGGAAUCUACUUUUUCGUGGGGGAUAACGUAGGGAAACUUACGCUAAUACCGCAUACGACCUACGGGUGAAAGCAGGGGAUCUUCGGACCUUGCGCGAUUGAAUGAGCCGAUGUCGGAUUAGCUAGUUGGCGGGGUAAAGGCCCACCAAGGCGACGAUCCGUAGCUGGUCUGAGAGGAUGAUCAGCCACACUGGAACUGAGACACGGUCCAGACUCCUACGGGAGGCAGCAGUGGGGAAUAUUGGACAAUGGGCGCAAGCCUGAUCCAGCCAUACUGCGUGGGUGAAGAAGGCCUUCGGGUUGUAAAGCCCUUUUGUUGGGAAGAAAAGCAGCAGGUUAAUACCCCGCUGUUCUGACGGUACCCAAAGAAUAAGCACCGGCUAACUUCGUG